rnacentral:rRNA from 1 species
AUUGAACGCUGGCGGCAGGCCUAACACAUGCAAGUCGAACGGUAACAGGAAACAGCUUGCUGUUUCGCUGACGAGUGGCGGACGGGUGAGUAAUGUCUGGGAAACUGCCUGAUGGAGGGGGAUAACUACUGGAAACGGUAGCUAAUACCGCAUAACGUCGCAAGGCCAAAGAGGGGGACCUUCGGGCCUCUUGCCAUCGGAUGUGACCAGAUGGGAUUAGCUAGUAGGUGGGGUAACGGCUCACCUAGGCGACGAUCCCCAGCUGGUCUGAGAGGAUGACCAGCCACACUGGAACUGAGACACGGUCCAGACUCCUACGGGAGGCAGCAGUGGGGAAUAUUGCACAAUGGGCGCAAGCCUGAUGCAGCCAUGCCGCGUGUAUGAAGAAGGCCUUCGGGUUGUAAAGUACUUUCAGCGGGGAGGAAGGGAGUAAAGUUAAUACCUUUACUCAUUGACGUUACCCGCAGAAGAAGCACCGGCUAACUCCGUG